GCUUGGUGGUCUAGUGGCAUGAUUCUCGCUUAGGGAUUUGCGAGAGGUCCCGGGUUCAAUUCCCGGCCAAGCCC